ACCUGCGGAAGGAUCAUUAUUGGAUAGCAAGAGGCUGUCGCUGGCCCCCCCCCUUUUGGGGGUAAAGUGCACGUCUCUUCCUUUAU
rnacentral:rRNA from 1 species